rnacentral:rRNA from 1 species
UACGUAGGGUGCGAGCGUUGUCCGGAAUUAUUGGGCGUAAAGGGCUCGUAGGCGGUUUGUCGCGUCGGGAGUGAAAACCCAGGGCUUAACCCUGGGCUGGCUUCCGAUACGGGCAGACUAGAGGUAUGCAGGGGAGAACGGAAUUCCUGGUGUAGCGGUGAAAUGCGCAGAUAUCAGGAGGAACACCGGUGGCGAAGGCAGCCCCCUGGGCUAACACUGACGCUCAGGCACGAAAGCGUGGGGAGCAAACAGG